CCGGCGCACGGGUGAGUAACACGUAUCCAACCUGCCGUCUACUCUUGGACAGCCUUCUGAAAGGAAGAUUAAUACAAGAUGGUAUCAUGAGUCCGCAUGUUCACAUGAUUAAAGGUAUUCCGGUAGACGAUGGGGAUGCGUUCCAUUAGAUAGUAGGCGGGGUAACGGCCCACCUAGUCUUCGAUGGAUAGGGGUUCUGAGAGGAAGGUCCCCCACAUUGGAACUGAGACACGGUCCAA
rnacentral:rRNA from 1 species